AAAAAAAUUCCGGUUACAGUCGUUGUUGAUUAGAAAGUAGUUAAGAAUUCAUCGACAGCGACUUUGUAAUUUGUAUUAUGGAUCGUUACAAACCAGUAAAACACAAAAGUCCGGUGAAUUACUUUGGAUGGCUAUUCCGAAACUGUCCUUUCAGUUUUCACUUUGUUUGGGAGAAUAAUUCAAUAGGCAUGACCGAUUCAUCGAUCUACGCACAGUGAAUUUGUUAAGCGCCUAUUAUAAAAACGAUCCUCUGGUUCAAAUCGAUGUGUACCGUGAGAUUUGAAAUUAAAAAUAUAAUUUUAAUAAAAAUCGAAACUGAUUUGGAGAAAUCUCAAUUAGAAGAUCUCAAUUAGAAUUUCUAAAGAAGUUUAUAUUGAAUAUCAAACUGUUCUAUAUUUGUUAAUAGAACGUCUACAAUUCAACGAGGGUUCACUAAACUGUUACUGUGCCGGUUUGCUGCAGUUUCAACCGCCCACGUAGGUUCUUAUGGAUUUUUUCGAGCAGCGCAGUUUUCCGGUUUAUGCAUUACGCAUAUAUAUAUAGUCACUGUCUCUGUUCGACGACAGUGGAGUCCGGGUUAAAACUCGUGAGCUACGCUAUUACGAGCCUGUGCACCAUUCGCAAUUCCAAGCUUCUUUGCUUUCCUCCUGCAAUGACCAUGUAACUACGCUUUCUUUAGUCACGUUCGACUUUCAUGCAAAUAAGUUCUUUCCGAAUCAUUUGAUUCCUUGGAUACUAAAUUGUCUUAAUUUUUAAUAUAAUAAAAUUCAUAACAUUAAUUGGAUAUAUCCCUGCAAAUUUUUCAAAUAUCUAUCGGUAUAUUUUUUAGAAUAACUUUAUUGAACAGAAACUAUAGUAUACAUUAUUUAUAACAGGAGCAAAAGAAUGGAUGCGUGUGUGAGACAUUAUGAUUGCAUACAAAUAUACUAAAAUAAAUUAUGCUUAAAGAAAUAAUAAUGAUUCCUAUUGAGUGAUACUCCGAACAAGUAGCUCUUUAACCAGGUCGAAAAUUAUAGAAAUACCAUAUGUGUACACGUUCUCGAGGAACAAAUAUUAUGCUUUUAUUAAUAGUAGCUUUAAUUAGAGACAUCCUGGUACAUCUAUCGAAUAAUGAUUUUAUCUUUUUAUUUAAGAUAUUUAAAAGAGGCAGGGGAACGGAUAUAUGUAUAAUGGUAUUUAGGUCAAUGUUACGUCCUUAUAAGCAAUAACCAGAGGCAGUGGUUACCCUUGUCGGAACAGACUUGCCUGCUAUAGGAAGUCGCCGUUUUUCAGCUUAUUCUGAAUAAUGCAUACAUGUAAGUCAUUGACAGAUGAAAGGCGGGAAAUAAAAGUUCUACCAGCGAAAGGAAGUUAUGUAAGUAUACGAGAGACCUUCCUUUUCAGCAUAUUACAAUUAAUUACAGAGAUAUUCUCUUUCACGAGAUCACAUAAGAAAUGCAUGAAUUGGGUCAUAAAAACAUUUUAUGGCGUUCGAUGAAAUGCAUUGAACGCAUGUACAUGUAAUUCCUUGACCUAGCAUCGUGUUUUACUUAUACAUUUACCAUUUACUUAAUUAGAUAACUUAAAUUUUUACAUUAAUUUUCAUAAUUAAAUCUUUAAUUUAAUCUUAUUGUAUAAUUAAGUUUAUCAAAAUUUAAGUUUCUUUAAUUUUCUUUGAAGUAAUUACUAAUUGUAUCUUGUGUUGGAACGUGGAAUAUAAUAUUCGAAAUUUGAUUUGAUAUUUCUUUAUUAAAGUAAAACAAAGCUUAAUCAAUUUUAUAUUUAAAGUUUCUUUGAGCUUCUAAGUUAGGUGUUAGUUAUCUUAUGUGAGAAUAUAAAAAGUUGUCAGUUUCUAAAUUUAAUUAUAUCUAAUAAUUUUUAUCUCUUUUAAGUUUUGAAAAAGAUCUAUAAAAUUUCUUCUCUAAAUUUAUGUAACUAACACAUAAGUUUCAGAGAUCGUUGUGAAGAUUGCUACUAAUUAAAAGCUUCAUUUGUCAAAUUUAUUUCUUAAAAAGUAAUUCCUAUUAUUCGAAUAUCUUUUAACUGAAAUUUCAACAUAUUGAUUCUUAAACUCUAUAUUCACAGACAAACAAAAGAAGUUUUAUUCUCGAAACUUUCAUGUGCUUUAAAUAACAGGUUUCGUGACAAAUAAAACAAUCGCAUGUCACUUCCGUCUUUUAUAUAAACAUCUUUUAAAAUACGUACAAAACAGAAAUACAAGGUACACAAGUUUCCAUCUGUUCACAGGAUACAACUUACAUAAUUUCACAAGCGAUACAAAAAAUUAUUUCAUUUUAAAAACCCAAUACAAUUUCACUUGCAAUUACAUACAUAAGAUAAAACACAAGUUUCAUUUUGAUUUAAAAAAUCAAUAUGAUUCUACAUACAAUUUUAGUUAUUACCACCCACAUAUAAUUAUUUGAUUAUAUUACAAAUAAUAGUAAUUUAAUGUAAAUUGAUUACCAGUUAAAAUCAAGUUCAACUCUUUCAAUAUAAUUACCUAAUCAUCUGCAUGUAAAAAUCCAAUAUAUUAUGUAGUAUUAAAAUAUUCAAUAUUACUCGUACACUAUUUUUAACAUUGAAUCCUGUUUUAGAACGUUAGGGAACUAAGAUCACAAGUUGUCAAGCGAUUCAAUGGUAAUAUUCAUAAGCUGGCGAGAUGGUUUUCUGAUAAACCGGAACAGCAGCAUGGGCAAUCGUUGGUGCAAAAGCUUUUCCGACCACCGGUACAGAGCUGUGAACCUGAACAUGAUCGAGGCGCGCUGUUUUUAUGAGAGCAGGUUGUGCCUCAAUUUUCGUGACUGGCACAUGAGAGACAGUUGGCACGUGUUUGACGUAUGGUACAGCAGCCACUGCUGGCACUUGGGCAGCGGCAUAUCCAAUGUGUUCGGCUUCAACUUUAGCGGGAACACUAUAUGCAAGCUGUGCCUCUUGUCCGAUAUUAUUUAUAAGAGAUCCUGGUCCUUAAGUCCGGUCGUCAAGUGAUCAUUUCAGCCUUGCUCAAUAUCUAUGUAUGUAUGUGUACCAAGGUCGGGCGUUGAUCAAAGGAAUAACGAUCGAUAUUUUCAUGCUCUCGAUCCAGAUGAAAAUGUUGCGCAACUUUAUGUAUACCCUAAACCGGUAAUUCGUUCGUACCCUAUCUCGCUUUUAUUCGUUUAUUACAUAUACCUUAAUAUGCGCGAUAAAUCUCUUUAUACCCAGUAAUUACCUAAAAAAAUACUCUUCUUACAGAUAGAGAUGAUGUUUUCAGCGAAAGAAGUACUGUGUGACCCCUUAUGUACGAUAUGCAUCGGAAGAUGAAGAAAUAAUACAAAUUGCUCGAGUCAGGUUACUGAUACAUAUUCGUGCUUAAGAAAAAAGUCUAUAAAACCUGAUACUUCUCACAAUUAGCUCAAGAAAAUUUAAUCGUAUGCAAAUCUGAUUCUAACUUUGAUCUAAUUGUAAUUUAAUGUGGAUUUAUUUUUCAUUUAAUUCUAAUUCUAAUUCAUUCAUUUACGUUAUUUUGUAACAACUCAAUUGUAGUUCUAACCUCUAAUUUUAGUUUUAAUAUGGAAUUAUUAUGAUCUUUAUAAUUGUUCUGAUUGCAACUUAAAGAACUAUGAUAAAUUUAAAAUUACCUACGUAAUUUAUUUAUAAAAAUUGACGACAGGCAUAAAUUUGGUUUUAAGGUGACAGAAAAAAUGAAGACCGAAGCAAUAAUAAUAAAUCAUUUGUACUUGUAAACAAAUUGCUGUUGCUUUAGAUGAAGUAGUUGACACGAUAAAUACUUAAAAGGAAACAGAAAGAAGUAAUUAUGGAGAUACGAAGUUAAAACGGAACCGAAUCCAUUUAUCUCACGUCAUUUAUGACGUUUUACAAGAGAGCAACUGCAAGUCAAUGUCAACAUCCCAUUACAUUACUUGAGCAUAUUUCUUUAGUCAGUUAUUCUUUAAAAAAUGUGUACAUAAAAUGGGUCAUG